UUUGCCAGGGAACUACGAGCUACAGCUUAAAACCCAAAGGACUUGGCGGUGCUUUAGACCCCCCUAGAGGAGCCUGUUCUAGAACCGAUGACCCCCGUUAAACCUCACCCUCUCUUGUAUUUUCCGCCUAUAUACCGCCGUCGUCAGCUUACCCUGUGAAGGGCCCAAAGUGAGCACAAUUGGUAAUACCUAAAACGCCAGGUCGAGGUGUAGCCAACGAGAGGGGAAGAAAUGGGCUACAUUCACUGCUACAGUGAAUACGGAUGAUGGACUGAAACAAACAUCUAAAGGAGGAUUUAGCAGUAAGGGGUGAAAUAGAGUGUCCCCCUGAAACUGGCCCUGAAGCGCGCACACACCGCCCGUCACUCUCCCCAAACAAAUCAUCUUAAUAAAUAAAAGCCUACAAAAACAAAGGGGAGGCAAGUCGUAACAUGGUAAGUGUACCGGAAGGUGCACUUGGAAAAAA
rnacentral:rRNA from 1 species